AGUGAACGCUGGCGGUAGGCCUAACACAUGCCAGUCGAACGGCAGCACAGUAAGAGCUUGCUCUUACGGGUGGCGAGUGGCGGACGGGUGAGGAAUACAUCGGAAUCUACUUUUUCGUGGGGGAUAACGUAGGGAAACUUACGCUAAUACCGCAUACGACCUACGGGUGAAAGCAGGGGAUCUUCGGACCUUGCGCGAUUGAAUGAGCCGAUGUCGGAUUAGCUAGUUGGCGGGGUAAAGGCCCACCAAGGCGACGAUCCGUAGCUGGUCUGAGAGGAUGAUCAGCCACACUGGAACUGAGACACGGUCCAGACUCCUACGGGAGGCAGCAGUGGGGAAUAUUGGACAAUGGGCGCAAGCCUGAUCCAGCCAUACCGCGUGGGUGAAGAAGGCCUUCGGGUUGUAAAGCCCUUUUGUUGGGAAAGAAGAGCAGCAGGUUAAUACCCCGCUGUUCUGACGGUACCCAAAGAAUAAGCACCGGCUAACUUCGU
rnacentral:rRNA from 1 species